rnacentral:pre_miRNA from 1 species
CAUUUACUCCUUCUGUACGGAAAUACUUGUUAUAAAAAUGGAUGUAUUUAAAUAUAUUUUAGGUCUAGAUACAUCUAUUUUUAUAUAUUUAUGCUGCAAGUAAUUCCGAACGAAGUGAGUACUUA